AUGCUGGAGGUAUCAGAAGUGCGAAUGCUGACAUAAGUAACGAUAAAGCGGGUGAAAAGCCCGCUCGCCGGAAGACCAAGGGUUCCUGUCCAACGUUAAUCGGGGCAGGGUGAGUCGACCCCUAAGGCGAGGCCGAAAGGCGUAGUCGAUGGGAAACAGGUUAAUAUUCCUGUACUUGGUGUUACUGCGAAGGGGGGACGGAGAAGGCUAUGUUGGCCGGGCGACGGUUGUCCCGGUUUAAGCGUGUAGGCUGGUUUUCCAGGCAAAUCCGGAAAAUCAAGGCUGAGGCGUGAUGACGAGGCACUACGGUGCUGAAGCAACAAAUGCCCUGCUUCCAGGAAAAGCCUCUAAGCAUCAGGUAACAUCAAAUCGUACCCCAAACCGACACAGGUGGUCAGGUAGAGAAUACCAAGGCGCUUGAGAGAACUCGGGUGAAGGAACUAGGCAAAAUGGUGCCGUAACUUCGGGAGAAGGCACGCUGAUAUGUAGGUGAAGUCCCUCGCGGAUGGAGCUGAAAUCAGUCGAAGAUACCAGCUGGCUGCAACUGUUUAUUAAAAACACAGCACUGUGCAAACACGAAAGUGGACGUAUACGGUGUGACGCCUGCCCGGUGCCGGAAGGUUAAUUGAUGGGGUUAGCGCAAGCGAAGCUCUUGAUCGAAGCCCCGGUAAACGGCGGCCGUAACUAUAACGGUCCUAAGGUAGCGAAAUUCCUUGUCGGGUAAGUUCCGACCUGCACGAAUGGCGUAAUGAUGGCCAGGCUGUCUCCACCCGAGACUCAGUGAAAUUGAACUCGCUGUGAAGAUGCAGUGUACCCGCGGCAAGACGGAAAGACCCCGUGAACCUUUACUAUAGCUUGACACUGAACAUUGAGCCUUGAUGUGUAGGAUAGGUGGGAGGCUUUGAAGUGUGGACGCCAGUCUGCAUGGAGCCGACCUUGAAAUACCACCCUUUAAUGUUUGAUGUUCUAACGUUGACCCGUAAUCCGGGUUGCGGACAGUGUCUGGUGGGUAGUUUGACUGGGGCGGUCUCCUCCUAAAGAGUAACGGAGGAGCACGAAGGUUGGCUAAUCCUGGUCGGACAUCAGGAGGUUAGUGCAAUGGCAUAAGCCAGCUUGACUGCGAGCGUGACGGCGCGAGCAGGUGCGAAAGCAGGUCAUAGUGAUCCGGUGGUUCUGAAUGGAAGGGCCAUCGCUCAACGGAUAAAAGGUACUCCGGGGAUAACAGGCUGAUACCGCCCAAGAGUUCAUAUCGACGGCGGUGUUUGGCACCUCGAUGUCGGCUCAUCACAUCCUGGGGCUGAAGUAGGUCCCAAGGGUAUGGCUGUUCGCCAUUUAAAGUGGUACGCGAGCUGGGUUUAGAACGUCGUGAGACAGUUCGGUCCCUAUCUGCCGUGGGCGCUGGAGAACUGAGGGGGGCUGCUCCUAGUACGAGAGGACCGGAGUGGACGCAUCACUGGUGUUCGGGUUGUCAUGCCAAUGGCACUGCCCGGUAGCUAAAUGCGGAAGAGAUAAGUGCUGAAAGCAUCUAAGCACGAAACUUGCCCCGAGAUGAGUUCUCCCUGACUCCUUGAGAGUCCUGAAGGAACGUUGAAGACGACGACGUUGAUAGGCCGGGUGUGUAAGCGCAGCGAUGCGUUGAGCUAACCGGUACUAAUGAACCGUGAGGCUUAACCUU
rnacentral:rRNA from 3 species